rnacentral:tRNA from 1 species
GGAUGGAUGUCCGAGCGGCCGAAGGAGCACGAUUGGAAAUCGUGUAGGCGGGGUCAACUCGUCUCGUGGGUUCAAGUCCCAUCGAUCGCCCCA